CCUACGGGAGGCAGCAGUGAGGAAUAUUGGUCAAUGGACGAGAGUCUGAACCUGCCAAGUAGCGUGAAGGAUGACUGCCCUAUGGGUUGUAAACUUCUUUUAUAAAGGAAUAAAACGAGGCACGUGUGCCUUUUUGCAUGUACUUUAUGAAUAAGGAUCGGCUAACUCCGUGCCAGCAGCCGCGGUAAUACGGAGGAUCCGAGCGUUAUCCGGAUUUAUUGGGUUUAAAGGGAGCGUAGAUGGGUUGUUAAGUCAGUUGUGAAAGUUUGCGGCUCAACCGUAAAAUUGCAAUUGAUACUGGCAGUCUUGAGUACAGUUGAGGUAGGCGGAAUUCGUGGUGUAGCAGUGAAAUGUUUAGAUAUCACGAAGAACCCCGAUUGCGAAGGCAGCUUACUAAACUGUGACUGACAUUGAUGCUCGAAAGUGUGGGUAUCAAACAGGAGUAGAUACCCGAGUAGUC
rnacentral:rRNA from 1 species